rnacentral:rRNA from 1 species
UAGCGAAGGGGGCUAGCGUUGUUCGGAAUUACUGGGCGUAAAGGGCGCGUAGGCGGCCUGUUAAGUCGAACGUGAAAUCCCCGGGCUCAACCCGGGAACUGCGUCCGAUACUGGCAGGCUUGAAUCCGGGAGAGGGAUGCGGAAUUCCAGGUGUAGCGGUGAAAUGCGUAGAUAUCUGGAGGAACACCAGUGGCGAAAGCGCGUGACUGGGCCAUAACUGACGCUGAGGAACGAAAGCUAGGGUAGCGAAAGGG